rfam:Endozoicomonas sp. S-B4-1T isolate SB41TT1 genome assembly, contig: SB41TT_contig_47
GGUCAAGUGACUAAGCGCACACGGUGGAUGCCUUGGCAGUCAGAGGCGAUGAAGGACGUGGUAAUCUGCGAUAAGCCUGGGGAAGCUGAUAAACAAGCUGUGAUCCC